rnacentral:rRNA from 1 species
UAACAGGUUAAGCUGACGAGUGGCGAACGGGUGAGUAAUGUAUCGGAACGUGCCCAGUCGUGGGGGAUAACUGCUCGAAAGAGCAGCUAAUACCGCAUACGACCUGAGGGUGAAAGCGGGGGAUCGCAAGACCUCGCGCGAUUGGAGCGGCCGAUAUCAGAUUAGGUAGUUGGUGAGGUAAAGGCUCACCAAGCCGACGAUCUGUAGCUGGUCUGAGAGGACGACCAGCCACACUGGGACUGAGACACGGCCCAGACUCCUACGGGAGGCAGCAGUGGGGAAUUUUGGACAAUGGGCGCAAGCCUGAUCCAGCCAUGCCGCGUGCGGGAAGAAGGCCUUCGGGUUGUAAACCGCUUUUGUCAGGGAAGAAAAGGUUCUGGCUAAUACCUGGGACUCAUGACGGUACCUGAAGAAUAAGCACCGGCUAACUACGUGCCAGCAGCCGCGGUAAUACGUAGGGUGCAAGCGUUAAUCGGAAUUACUGGGCGUAAAGCGUGCGCAGGCGGUUAUGCAAGACAGAGGUGAAAUCCCCGGGCUCAACCUGGGAACUGCCUUUGUGACUGCAUGGCUAGAGUACGGUAGAGGGGGAUGGAAUUCCGCGUGUAGCAGUG